GUCACAUCAACUUGAAACAACGGUUUCCGUACGAUAACUGAAGUUAAGCAACGUUGAGUCUGGUCAGUACCUAGAUGGGUGACCGUUUGGAAGUACUUGGUGUUGUAAG